rnacentral:rRNA from 1 species
GACGAACGCUGGCGGCGUGCUUAACACAUGCAAGUCGAACGGAAAGGCCCUGCUUUUGUGGGGUGCUCGAGUGGCGAACGGGUGAGUAACACGUGAGUAACCUGCCCUUGACUUUGGGAUAACUUCAGGAAACUGGGGCUCAUACCGGAUAGGAGCUCCUGCUGCAUGGUGGUGGAUGGAAAGUUUCGGCGGUUGGGGAUGGACUCGCGGCUUAGCAGCUUGUUGGUGGGGUAGUGGCUUACCAAGGCUUUGACGGGUAGCCGGCCUGAGAGGGUGACCGGGCACAUUGGGACUGAGAUACGGCCCAGACUCCUACGGGAGGCAGCAGUGGGGAAUAUUGCACAAUGGGCGGAAGCCGGAUGCAGCAACGCCGCGUGCGGGAUGACGGCCUUCGGGUUGUAAACCGCUUUCGCCUGUGACGAAGCGUGAGUGACGGUAAUGAGUAAAGAAGCACCGGCUAACUACGUG